rnacentral:rRNA from 1 species
AGCGAACGCUGGCGGCAGGCCUAACACAUGCAAGUCGAGCGGCCGUAGCAAUACGGCAGCGGCAGACGGGAGAGUAACACGUGGGAACGCGCCCUUCGGUUCGGGAUAACUUAGGGAAACUUGGGCUAAUACCGGAUACGCCCUUACGGGGAAAGAUUUAUUGCCGAAGGAACGGCCCGCGUCCGAUUAGCUUGUUGGUGAGGUAACGGCUCACCAAGGCGACGAUCGGUAGCUGGUCUGAGAGGAUGACCAGCCUCACUGGGACUGAGACACGGCCCAGACUCCUACGGGAGGCAGCAGUGGGGAAUAUUGGACAAUGGGCGCAAGCCUGAUCCAGCCAUGCCGCGUGGGUGAUGAAGGCCCUAGGGUUGUAAAGCCCUUUCAGCGGGGAAGAUAAUGACGGUACCCGCAGAAGAAGCCCCGGCCAACUUCGUGCCAGCAGCCGCAGUAACAC